GACAGAGGGUGCAAACGUUGUUCGGAAUUACUGGGCGUAAAGCGCGUGUAGGCGGCUAAGUAAGUCGGGCGUGAAAUCCCACGGCUCAACCGUGGAAGUGCACUCGAAACUGCGUAGCUAGAGUCCUGGAGAGGAAGGUGGAAUGCUUGGUGUAGAGGUGAAAUUCGUAGAUAUCAAGCGGAACACCGGUGGCGAAGGCGGCCUUACUGGACAGU
rnacentral:rRNA from 1 species